rnacentral:rRNA from 1 species
UAGGGAAUCUUCGGCAAUGGGGGCAACCCUGACCGAGCAACACCGCGUGAGUGAAGAAGGUUUUCGGAUCGUAAAGCUCUGUUGUAAGAGAAGAACGUGUGUAAGAGUGGAAAGUUCACACAGUGACGGUAACUUACCAGAAAGGGACGGCUAACUACGUGCCAGCAGCCGCGGUAAUACGUAGGUCCCGAGCGUUGUCCGGAUUUAUUGGGCGUAAAGCGAGCGCAGGCGGUUUAAUAAGUCUGAAGUUAAAGGCAGUGGCUUAACCAUUGUUCGCUUUGGAAACUGUUAAACUUGAGUGCAGAAGGGGAGAGUGGAAUUCCAUGUGUAGCGGUGAAAUGCGUAGAUAUAUGGAGGAACACCGGUGGCGAAAGCGGCUCUCUGGUCUGUAACUGACGCUGAGGCUCGAAAGCGUGGGGAGCAAACAGG